rnacentral:rRNA from 1 species
UGCCGCGUGAGUGAAGAAGGCCUUCGGGUUGUAAAGCUCUUUUGUCAGGGAAGAAACGGUGCGGGCUAAUAUCUCGUGCUAAUGACGGUACCUGAAGAAUAAGCACCGGCUAACUACGUGCCAGCAGCCGCGGUAAUACGUAGGGUGCAAGCGUUAAUCGGAAUUACUGGGCGUAAAGCGUGCGCAGGCGGUUUUGUAAGACUGUCGUGAAAUCCCCGGGCUCAACCUGGGAAUGGCGAUGGUGACUGCAAGGCUAGAGUUUGGCAGAGGGGGGUAGAAUUCCACGUGUAGCAGUGAAAUGCGUAGAUAUGUGGAGGAACACCGAUGGCGAAGGCAGCCCCCUGGGUCAAAACUGACGCUCAUGCACGAAAGCGUGGGGAGCAAACAGGAUUAGAUACCCUGGUAGUCCACGCCCUAAACGAUGUCUACUAGUUGUCGGGUUUUAAUUAACUUGGUAACGCAGCUAACGCGUGAAGUAGACCGCCUGGGGAGUACGGUCGCAAGAUUAAAACUCAAAGGAAUUGACGGGGACCCGCACAAGCGGUGGAUGAUGUGGAUUAAUUCGAUGCAACGCGAAAAACCUUACCUACCCUUGACAUGGAUGGAAUCCCGGAGAGAU